GGAUUAGAUACCCUGGUAGUCCACGCCGUAAACGAUGAAUGCUAGAUGUCGGAUUUAUUUUCGGUAUUACAGCUAACGCAUUAAGCAUUCCGCCUGGGGAGUACGGUCGCAAGAUUAAAACUUAAAGGAAUUGACGGGGGCCCGCACAAGCGGUGGAGCAUGUGGUUUAAUUCGAUACAACGCGAAAAACCUUACCAGCUUUUGACAUGGGAAUUAGGGGGUUUAGAGAUAAGCUCUGUCGGUUCGGCCGGAUUCCACACAGGUGCUGCAUGGCUGUCGUCAGCUCGUGUCG
rnacentral:rRNA from 1 species